rnacentral:ncRNA from 1 species
UUGCCUUCUGGUAGCAAUGAACCGCAGUUCGAGUCAAGAGCGGUCACCUAGAACUGCGGGGAGCGAGUGGUGAGACCGACCAGAAAAGUG